rnacentral:rRNA from 1 species
AUUGAACGCUGGCGGCAGGCCUAACACAUGCAAGUCGAGCGGAGCGGCGGACGGGUGAGUAAUGCCUAGGAAUCUGCCUGGUAGUGGGGGAUAACGACCGGAAACGGUCGCUAAUACCGCAUACUAUCAGAUGAGCCGAGGUCGGAUUAGCUAGUUGGUGGGGUAAAGGCUUACCAAGGCGACGAUCCGUAACUGGUCUGAGAGGAGGAUCAGUCAAACUGGAACUGAGACACGGCCCAGACUCCUACGGGAGGCAGAAGUAGGGAAUAUUCGGCAAUGGACGAAAGCCUGAUCGAGCCAUGCCGCGUGAGUGAAGAAGGUCUUCGGAUUGUAAAACUCUGUAGGUUGGGAGGCGUUACCUAAAGAGAAAGCACCGGCUAACUACGUGCCAGCAGCCGCGGUAAUAC